UCCCAAAUAGUCUAGGCGGUUAGGAUUACGUGGGCUUUCACCACCGCGACCCGGUUUCGAGUCCCGUUUGGGAA